GACGAACGCUGGCGGCGUGCCUAACACAUGCAAGUCGAACGGGGUAGCAAUACCCAGUGGCGGACGGGUGCGUAACACGUGAGGAACAUGUCUUUCGGCGGGGAAGUAGCCGGCCUAACGGCCGGGUAAUACCGCGUACGACGAUUGGGGCGGCAUGCCUUGAUCGUGAAAGCAGCAAUGCACCGAUAGAGUGCCUCGCGGCCUAUCAGCUAGUUGGUGAGGUAAUGGCNCACCAAGGCGACGACGGGUAGCUGGUCUGAGAGGAUGAUCAGCCACAUUGGGACUGAGACACGGCCCAGACUCCUACGGGAGGCAGCAGUGGGGAAUAUUGCGCAAUGGCCGCAAGGCUGACGCAGCGACGCCGCGUGUGGGAUGACGGUC
rnacentral:rRNA from 1 species